rnacentral:lncRNA from 1 species
CCCGGCUCGAGGGAGUAGGUAUUAGUAACAGCUGCUCCAGCCCGAGCUCGCUCCCAGCGGCGCCCGCCCGGAGCCGGAGACACGCAGAUCAUGGACAGAAGUUUCUCCCCGCGCCGCUCGGGGGGGCUCCUCCUGGCAGCAGCAGCGCUCUGCGUUUGGGGGGCAGCGGGCAAGCUUCUUUUGGGAAAGAAUUUGAGGCCCAGGACUGACAUCAAUUCCAGAGGUGGGAACACUUCUUUCUGUCCUCUGGAUGAAUAUAUUUUGAGCUAUGUGUCCCUUCUCUCCAUCAUGCCCAUCGGAUGACAACUGACAAGAGUUGCUGAAAACAAAAAUGUCGUAAUUUUAAUUCCUUUUCCAAGAAGCAAGGAGGAUCUGUCUGCCCUUUGCUCAAAUGUGAAACCUUGGUCCCCACAGAUCCUACUUUAAAUUCUUUAAAUGACCUUGACUAGAUUACAAGUAAAUUACAGAGCAGCAGAAUGAGGCAAAUACCUGCCUGAGAUUACAAGAGCUUUAUACACGUGAGGUGAAUUUCAGAAUUCAGGUCCUUUGCUUUAAAGGUUGAGAACCACUGGUCUAGUAAGUAGAGACUCAAG